rnacentral:lncRNA from 1 species
UGGUUCAUGUUUGCAUUCAUUUCAGCAAUCAACAUUGGCACCUUUUCGUACCUACGAGAUAAAAGUGCCUAAAUGAUUUAUUUUCUAUCAUCAGAAUCAGAUGUAUCGAUUUUGUGUGGAAUAGUUUUGGCUUAAUUUUCAGAUGUGAGUGUGGCUUUAUUUAACACUUAAAGUUUUCAUAUUGCUGCAUCUCAUGCCUACGUUCAAUGAUGUGAUCUGGUGGGAAUAUCGUCUAUUGGUGUGCAAGAUAUAUUAGGAUGAAGAAGAUUAUAGCUUAUAAGAUAUGGAAAGCCACAUCUAUCCUAUAUCAUUUUAAUGAAGAGUGACAAUUGUGUACGUGAGGCUACCCAAACUAUGAAUAGUCUGGCAUACAGGAUAAGUUUGUAUGAUCUUACUUUGUAUGAAGUGUCAUGGUGAUCUAAAAUGAAUACAAAUUUUUUACCAUAUUUGACUCUUCAAACUGGAUGAUCCUUUAAAUAAGAAGAUAUUGUACGAUUGCCAAUGAGAUAUCUAUUUAUCAGAGUUCAAAUGUCGUGGAUGUAAGCAAUCGUAGUGCACCGUACAGCCCUCACUAAUGAGACAACUCAUAACGUAUAGACGGACAAUAAAGGCCCGACAUAAAAAGUAUGUGAAACAAUUCAACAAAAUUAUAUCAUAGAUACCAGGAUAAAAUCAAGAAAAGUGUCGGUCUAAUUUUCGUCAAUGCAAUUUUACGAAAAACAAAUAUGACAACAACGACUAAAUUUGAAAACUUCUGCAUUAUCGAUUGUCUUUAUAUGGAAAAAUAAGAAGAUGUGGUUUGAAUGCGAAUGCGACAACCCUCCACCAGUGACCAUUUUUCAAAGCAGAUAGAAAAUAUUGGUCACGUACGGCCUUCAAUAAUGAGCAAAACCCUAUACCGCAUAGUCAGCUGAAAAAAGGCACCGAAAUGUCAGAUACAAGGCAAAUAACAAGCCAAUCUGUGGGUGAUUUACUACCAAGGGCAACCUACAUUACCUC